AGAGUUUGAUCCUGGCUCAGGAUGAACGCUGGCGGCGUGCCUAAUACAUGCAAGUCGAACGAGGUGCUUUUGUAGCAAUACGAGAGUAUCCUAGUGGCGAACGGGUGAGUAACGCGUUGGUGACCUGCCCCAAAGUGUGGGAUAACAGUCCGAAAGGAUUGCUAAUACCGCAUGUGGUCCUCGGAUUUAGAAACCGAUGACUAAAGCCGUAAGGCGCUUUGGGAGGGACCUGCGUCCCAUCAGCUAGUUGGUGAGGUAACGGCCCACCAAGGCUACGACGGGUAGGGGACCUGAGAGGGUGGCCCCCCACAAUGGAACUGAAACACGGUCCAUACACCUACGGGUGGCAGCAGUAGGGAAUAUUGCACAAUGGGCGAAAGCCUGAUGCAGCAACGCCGCGUGAGCGAUGAAGGCCUUCGGGUCGUAAAGCUCUUUUCUGGGAGAUGAGAAAGGACAGUAUCCCAGGAAUAAGUCUCGGCUAACUACGUGCCAGCAGCCGCGGUAACACGUAGGAGGCGAGCGUUAUCCGGAUUCACUGGGCGUAAAGCGCGUGCAGGCGGUUCGGUAAGUUGGACGUGAAAUCUCCCGGCUCAACUGGGAUAGGUCGUUCAAUACUACCGAACUUGAGAGCGAUAGAGGAAAAUGGAAUUCCCGGUGUAGUGGUGAAAUGCGUAGAUAUCGGGAGGAACACCAGUGGCGAAAGCGAUUUUCUGGAUCGUUUCUGACGCUCAGACGCGAAAGCUAGGGUAGCAAACGGGAUUAGAUACCCUGGUAGUCC
rnacentral:rRNA from 1 species